AGUGUCCAGGGAUGGGAAUCGAACCCACAUUGUUCCGCUUACCGGGCAGAUGCCAUAUCCACUAGGCUUGUUCAC
rnacentral:tRNA from 1 species